GCUAACUUGAGGCCAAGGGCGGCGUUAAUACGCAUGUUGCCAGCGUUAAUAGGAGUUACUGGUCGUAAAGCGCGCGUAGGUGUGUCAGCAAGUUGGAGGUGAAAGUCCCGGGCUCAACCUGGGAACUGCCGCCAAAACGACUGAGCUAGGGUACGGUAGAGGGUAGUGGAAUUUCCUGUGUAGCGGUGAAAUGCGUAGAUAUAGGAAGGAACACCAGUGGCGAAGGCGACUACCUGGACUGAUACUGACACUGAGGUGCGAAAGCGUGGGGAGCAAACAGGAUUAGAUACCCUUGUAGUG
rnacentral:rRNA from 1 species